AGUGAACGCUGGCGGCGUGCCUAAUACAUGCAAGUCGAACGGAGUGGCGCACGGGCGAGUAAUUUAUAGCUAAUCUGCCCUACACUAGAGGACAACAGUUGGAAACGGCUGCUAAUACUCUCUAGUGUAGGAUGAGGCUAUCUUGUAGCAGCUAGUUGGUGAGGUAAUGGCUCACCAAGGCUAUGACGCAUAACUGGUCUGAGAGGAUGAUCAGUCACACUGGAAGUGAGACACAGGCGGGACUCCUACGGGAGGGAGCAGUAGGGAAUAUUGCCCAAUGGGGGAAAGCCUGAAGGAGCUACGGCGCGUGGAGGAUGACAAUUUUCGGAGAGUAAACUCCUGUUGUUAGGUAAGCGGUACCUAACGAAUAAGCACCGGCUAACUCCGUGCCAGCAGCCGCGGUAAUAC
rnacentral:rRNA from 1 species